rnacentral:lncRNA from 1 species
ACAUCCUUGGUGGGACGGAGCAGGAAGGCUGGAGAUUUCAUCAAGCUACUCACAGCAGCAUGCCAUUUAAAAUUCAUGAAUUAUUUAUUUCUGGAAUUUUCCGUUUAAUAUUUUUGGACCACAAUUGACCUCAGGUGAGAGAACCUUUGUGGGAGCGCAGAAGUCCAGCAGAGAGACCCUAGCACUUUAUUUGGACCAAAAAAUAAAUAAUAAAUAAAUAAAUAAAUAAAUCCAAAACUAGAUGCAUUAAAGAAGGUUAGACUUCUCCUAUGGAGAAUGCAGCAAGAAAAUACCAUCUUGAAGCAGAGAGCAGCGCUCAUCAGGCAUCAGUCCUUCUGGAGCCUUGAUCUUGGACCUCCCAGCUCCAAAAUAAUAAGUAAUAAAUUGUUAUUGCUUAUAAAUUACA